rnacentral:tRNA from 1 species
GCGGAGGUUGUCGAGACUGGCCAAAGGCGAUGGAUUCAGGGUCCAUUCCCGCAGGGUUCGAGGGUUCAAAUCCCUCCCUCCGCA